rnacentral:tRNA from 1 species
GGAUAUGGCUCAGUUGGUAGAGUGCUUGCCUCAAAUGCACAAGGUCCUGGGUAAAAUCCCCAGUACCA